rnacentral:rRNA from 1 species
AGCCAUGCGAGUCAUUGUAGCAAUACAAGGCGGACGGCUCAGUAACACGUAGUUAACCUAACUUGUGGACGUGGAUAACCUCGGGAAACUGAGAAUAAACCACGAUAGAUCAUAGUGCCUGGAAUGGCUUAUGGUCCAAACAGUUUACUGCCAUGGGAUGGGACUGCGGCCUAUCAGCUUGUUGGUGAGGUAAUGGCCCACCAAGGCGAUUACAGGUACGGGCUCUGAGAGGAGAAGCCCGGAGAUGGGUACUGAGACACGGACCCAGGCCCUAUGGGGCGCAGCAGGCGAGAAACCUUAGCAAUGUGCGAAAGCACGACUGGGUCAGUCCGAGUGAUUCCUGAUAAAGGAGUCUUUUGCUUGUCCUAAAAGCACAGGUGAAUAAGGGUGGGCAAGUCUGGUGUCAGCCGCCGCGGUAAUACCAGCAACCUUCGAGUGGUCAGGACGUUUAUUGGGCCUAAAGCAUCCGUAGCCGGCUCCUGCAAGUCUUCGGUAAAUCCACCUGCUCAACAGAUGGGCCCCUGGAAAUACAAAGAAGCUAGGGAAGGGGAAAGGCGACGGUAUCCGUGGGUAGGAGUAAAAUCCUCUGAUCAUUGAGGACCACCAUGGCGAAGGCGGUCUGCAGAACACGUUCGACGGUGAGGAUGAAGCUGGGAGCAACCGAUAGUUACCGGUAUCCACUGUAACAUGCAACUCGGUAGCCUGGCUAGGCCAUGCAUGCC